AAGGUAGCAUAAUCAUUUGCCUUUUAAUUGGUGGCUAGUAUGAAUGGAUAAACGCAAGCGCCACUGUCUCGUUAAUAUUAAUAAAAAUUAACAUUUAGGUGAAGAGGCCUAAAUCCGAUAAAAAGACAAAAAGACCCUAUGGAGCUUAAUUUAACCCCCCUACUUACCUUUGACCCACAACCCCACCAGGGUAAAUAAAUUUAGUUGGGGCGACUUGGGAAAACCACAAAUCUUCCCAAAAAAAAAGAAAAUAGAUCUACUACAAUCCGUCACACGAAUAUAGACUCAGCUACCCUAGGGAUAACAGGCUAAUUCUUCCNCGCGAGCCCAAAUUAACGGAAGAGAUUGGCACCUCGAUGUUGGCUUAGGGUUUCUACAAGAUGCAGAAGUCUUGAAAGUGGGUUUGUUCAACCCUUAAAACCCUACGUGAUCUGA
rnacentral:rRNA from 1 species